rnacentral:pre_miRNA from 1 species
AUCACAUAGGAUCUUGUUAAAAUGCAGAUUCUGAUUCAGUAGGUCUGGGCUGCAGCCCCCGAUUCUGCAUUUCUGACAAGAUCCCAGGUGAUGCAUC